rnacentral:rRNA from 1 species
AUUGAACGCUGGCGGCAGGCCUAACACAUGCAAGUCGAGCGGAUGAAGGGAGCUUGCUCCUGGAUUCAGCGGCGGACGGGUGAGUAAUGCCUAGGAAUCUGCCUGGUAGUGGGGGAUAACGUCCGGAAACGGGCGCUAAUACCGCAUACGUCCUGAGGGAGAAAGUGGGGGAUCUUCGGACCUCACGCUAUCAGAUGAGCCUAGGUCGGAUUAGCUAGUUGGUGGGGUAAAGGCCUACCAAGGCGACGAUCCGUAACUGGUCUGAGAGGAUGAUCAGUCACGAGGGAUGAAGGAGACGGACCAAAGGGCAGGGGGAGGGGGAGGGUGGAAAAAUGGCGACUGGGGGAAAGACGUGAUACCGCGGUGUGGUGUGUGUGAAGAAUGUCUUGGGUGUGUAAAGCAGUUUAGGGUGGGGGGAGGGAAAAUAAGUUAAUUUCUUGCUUUUUUGAUGAUACCAACAAACUCAGCACCGGAUAACUUCGUGCCAGACGCAGCUGUAACA